rnacentral:rRNA from 1 species
GGGUAUGGGUAAAAUCAACUGAUCCUUGGAAGACCACCAGUGGCGAAGGCGCCUGACCAAUACGCAUCCGACGAUGAGGGACGAAAGCUGGGAUAACGAACCGGAUUAGAUACCCGGGUAGCCCUAGCUGUAAAUCAUGCAGACCUGACGUUGCAAUGACUUAGUGUCAUUGCUGCGCCGAAGGGAAACCGAUAAGUCUGCCGCCUGGGGAGUACGGUCGCAAGAUUGAAACUUAAAGGAAUUGGCGGGGGAGCACUACAAGGGGUGAGACCUACGGUUUAAUUGGAGUCAACGCCGGAA